rnacentral:rRNA from 1 species
CUGAAAGGGUUGCUAAUACCGCAUGUGGUCAAGAGAGAUUAGAAGCUUUUGAUUAAAGGAGAAAUCCACUUUGGGAGGGGCCUGCGUCCCAUCAGCUAGUUGGUAGGGUAAAAGCCUACCAAGGCGAUGACGGGUAGGGGACCUGAGAGGGUGACCCCCCACAAUGGAACUGAAACACGGUCCAUACACCUACGGGUGGCAGCAGUAGGGAAUAUUGCACCAUGGGCGAAAGCCUGAUGCAGCAACGCCGCGUGAGUGAAGAAGGCCCUCGGGUCGUAAAACUCUUUUCAAGAGGAAGAGGAAGGACGGUACUCUUGGAAUAAGCCUCGGCUAACUACGUGCCAGCAGCCGCGGUAACACGUAGGAGGCGAGCGUUAUUCGGAUUUACUGGGCGUAAAGCGCGUGUAGGCGGCUGAUCAAGUUGGAUGUGAAAGCUCCCGGCUUAACUGGGAGAGGACGUUCAAAACUGAUCAGCUUGAGUACGAGAGAGGAAAAUGGAAUUCCGGGUGUAGUGGUGAAAUGCGUAGAUAUCCGGAGGAACACCAGUGGCGAAGGCGAUUUUCUGGCUCGAGACUGACGCUCAGGCGCGAAAGCUAGGGUAGCAAACGGGAUUAGAGACCCCGGUAGUCCUAGCUGUAAACGAUGUAGACUAGGCGUUGGUGGAGUAAAAUCCAUCAGUGCCGGAGCAAACGCGAUAAGUCUACCGCCUGGGGACUACGGCCGCAAGGUUAAAACUCAAAGGAAUUGACGGGGCCCCGCACAAGCAGCGGAGCGUGUGGUUUAAUUCGAUGCUACACGAA